rnacentral:rRNA from 1 species
CGCGUAGGCGGACAGUUUAGUCGGGGGUGAAAGCCCGGGGCUCAACCUCGGAAUUGCCUUCGAUACUGGCUGUCUUGAGUACGGGAGAGGUGUGUGGAACUCCGAGUGUAGAGGUGAAAUUCGUAGAUAUUCGGAAGAACACCAGUGGCGAAGGCGACACACUGGCCCGUUACUGACGCUGAUGCGCGAAAGCGUGGGGAGCAAACAGGAUUAGAUACCCUGGUAGUCCACGCUGUAAACGAUGAGUGCUAGUUGUCGGCAUGCAUGCAUGUCGGUGACGCAGCUAACGCAUUAAGCACUCCGCCUGGGGAGUACGGUCGCAAGAUUAAA